UUCGUUUAAGCAUCCUUAAUUAAAAAGAAAAGGAAAUCAGCUAUGGGUUCCAUUUCCAAAAGCUUCCUUUUACUAGCUCUUUUAGCUGCAGUUGUUGUUCUAGUUUCUUCGAACGUGGCAGCCAGAGACCUUGCUGAAACUACCACAGAAAAGAACCAUGGUCAUGCGGCCACCGAAAAAACUAAAGCUAACCUAGGAGAGGCCAAGUAUGGGGAUGACUACGGUGGAUAUCCUGCAAUCCCUUGCUACGGCUGCUAGAUUAUUACAGAAGGUGCUGCUCUUAUGCCGGUGGAUGCUCAAAACUCAUGCCCGUUAAGCAAUGUGAAUCACGUGCCUAUUAAAUUGUUACUUUGUUGUUAACCGUCUACCGUUAGUUGAUAUAUUAAGUUCAGUGGUAUGCUAAAAGUUCCUUUCUCUCUCUUAUUAGUAUUUAAAUAUGUAUUAUCUUUUAGUUUAAAGUUUAAGGGAUUUGAAUAAAUAAAUUUGUGGAAUGUAAGUUUAUUUA